AGAAUGAACGUUGGCGGCGUGGAUUAGGCAUGCAAGUCGCGCGAUAAGCGUAGCAAUACGCAGAAAGCGGCGUAAGGGAGAGUAAUACAUCGGUUAGCUACCCUCAGGACUGGGAUAGCGGCGGGAAACUGCCGGUAAUACCAGAUGAUGUACUUCGGACCAAACGUCGUAAACCGGCCCGAGGAGGCGACCAUGUCCUAUCAGUCUUGGUUGGCGGGUAACGCCCACCGAAGGCAAAGCGGUAUGGGGCUGAGAGCGUGCCCCCAUCACUGGGACCUGAGACACUGCCCAGACACC
rnacentral:rRNA from 1 species